CCUGGCGGCCGUAGCGCGGUGGUCCCACCUGAUCCCAUGCCGAACUCAGAAGUGAAACGCCGUAGCGCCGAUGGUAGUGUGGGGUCUCCCCAU
rnacentral:rRNA from 1 species